CUCAACCUCUAGAAUAAGAACCCUACACUUUCACCCAUUGUGCGACGGCAGUGGCGAGACCCCCUCCUUUCUCGUGAUAUCCUUGGGACUGAUCGAUUUAACUUGGAACACGUAUCUUAAUCUUACCGAGCAAAACCAAGGUCGUUAACUUUGGAACAUGGACUUGCUAUCUGGGAGUGCUGGAGUGGUCAUGGAUCGAGACUUUUGGAUUGACUUAUAAACGAUACAUUGACUUUGAUUAUUAUCAUGAAACUAUUACUAAACGAUUUAUUACAUGCUUCCGCUACACAACAUCUUGAGAAUUGAUAUCAUGUUUAACAAUUUCUAUUGGUGAUUAAUGGCAUGUUUCAUUAAAUAUUUA